rnacentral:rRNA from 1 species
UACGUAGGGUGCAAGCGUUGUCCGGAAUCAUUGGGCGUAAAGCGCGUGUAGGCGGUCCGGUAAGUCCGCUGUGAAAGUCGGGGGCUCAACCCUCGAAUGCCGGUGGAUACUGUCGGGCUAGAGUGCGGAAGAGGCGAGUGGAAUUCCUGGUGUAGCGGUGAAAUGCGCAGAUAUCAGGAGGAACACCGAUGGCGAAGGCGGGUCUCUGGGCCGUAACUGACGCUGAGGAGCGAAAGCGUGGGGAGCGAACAGG